rnacentral:rRNA from 1 species
GGUGACCGACCCUCGGGGAGCUAGCACAGGUGCUGCAUGGCUGUCGUCAGCUCGUGUCGUGAGAUGUUCGGUUAAGUCCGCUAACGAGCGCAACCCUUGCUGUGUGUUACAUGUGUCACACGGGACUGCCGGUCUUAAACCGGAGGAAGGUGGGAUGACGUCAAGUCAGCAUGGCCUUUAUGUCCUGGGCUACACACACGCUACAAUGGCCGGUACAAUAGGUUGCGAAGCCGCGAGGCGGAGCCAAUCCUCAAAGCCGGCCUCAGUUCAGAUUGCAGGCUGCAACCCGCCUGCAUGAAGAUGGAGUUGCUAGUAACCGCAGGUCAGCUAUACUGCGGUGAAUACGUUCCCGGGGCUU